CCUGUUUCUGUUACAGGCAUCUUGUCUCUCAAAGAGAGAAUCUAGAGAUUAAUAUCAUAUUUCUUCUGUCAAAACUUCUCAGAAGAAGUAUACCAAUUCUCCUUUUCCACGGAAAUCAAGAUUUAAAAAUCCCAUUAACACAAACACGGAUAAUUGCCAAUAUGCUAGCAAAAGAAUUGAAGCUUGUGCCAUUUGGGAGUUAUGGUCCUUGGCAUGACAAGAUGCAGACUUGAUCGUUUCAAGCUUAUCGUGGAGCCAUGAAAAUCAUCUUCGCUUAGCUGGAUCUUUAUCAACUGGCAGGAUCUGGAGCCUUAAAACAUUGUCAUUUCAAGGAUCUGUGGACAUCAUUUGCCAGCAUCUAUACUCCAAAACAGCAUAGGUGCUUGUAUUUGAGGUCAAUCUUUUGUCUAAAUAUUCCUUGGUCUGUCUAUCCUCUGAAGCACUCCCUGGAGACAACCUUGUUUAUGUGUGUCUUCCAGCCUAGACCUCACUUGAUAUGUCAAACCUAACAAGUCUUGGCAGACUAUAAUUGCCACUUCUAUUCUUCCUUUACCCCAAUUUGAAGUUCUAAAAGUCGUUUAUUACCUUAAAUAUCCUGCUUUAAGCUGGGACU
rnacentral:sRNA from 10 species